UAAUACGAGGGGGGCAAGCGUUGUCCGGAUUCAUUGGGCGUAAAGAGUUCGUAGGCGGAUCAGCCAGUCGAAAUUGAAAUACCACGGCUUAACCGUGGUCCCGGUUUCGAUACUACUGAUCUUGAGUGAGGUAGAGGUAAGCGGAAUUCCUGGUGUAGCGGUGAAAUGCGUAGAUAUCAGGAGGAACACCGAAGGCGAAGGCAGCUUACUGGGCCUAUACUGACGCUGAGGAACGAAAGCGUGGGGAGCAAACAGGAUUAGAGACCCUGGUAGUCCACGCCGUAAACGAUGAGUACUUGGUGGUGGGGGAUUCGACCCCUUCACUGUCGGAGCUAACGCGUUAAGUACUCCGCCUGGGGACUACGACCGCAAGGUUG
rnacentral:rRNA from 1 species